UAUGGCCACAUCACAUUGAAACAACGUUUCUUGUAUGAUCACCAAAGUUAAGCAACAUUGAGCCUGAUCAGUACCUCGAUGGGUGACCACCUGGGAAUAUCAAGUACUGUAAG